UCUAACCUUGUCAAUGAAUUGACUCAUUUUGAAUAGCUGCCUGGCACGCAGACACAUCUUAAAAGAUAUUGUGUGUGCAGACUGUGCGACUCUAAAUGAGUAAUCUGAUUAUUUUGUUGCUCGAGGUGUCGUAGCAGCAAGCAGCAUUUCCUGUGGAAUCCUCCAGGCCCACUCCACAGCUGACUGUAUGCAGGUGUUUUAAUAAUGCAUGAUUCCCCAUCUCGAGAGAUCCUCAUAUGAUGCAAACUCUCCCUCCUCACGAGCUGCUCUGUAUGCCGCUGAAAUUGCUCAUCUGAGACGACUCCUGUAGGCCCGAGAAAACUCACCAGGGCUCCAUAAUUUGUAUAAUAACAGGAAGUGCCAAGACCCUCGUUGUGUUUAAUGAAAAUGGAGAUGCCCCUGGACGCUAUGACAUCUAUCAGUAUCAGAUAACAAACAGGUCGGCUGAGUACAGAAUCAUCGGCCACUGGACGGAUCAGCUGCAUUUAAAUAUGAAUGCCAUGCAGUGGGCGAGUGGGGACGCAUCUGUGCCGGCGUCUGUAUGCAGCCUGCCCUGUCAGACUGGCGAGCGGAAGAAGGUUGUGAAGGGGGUGCCGU